UUGGACUCUGUCGUGUUACAGCGACUGGUCUGAAAUGCCUGAGUGCACCCUGCUGUUGCAGCGUCUUCAGUGUGAUAAGCAUCUUCACUGAUUCAAGUUCCUUCGGGACACGUAGCAUUGUGGGCUCUGUGCUGACAAACCGUCUUUGGACAAUCUUUGACAAUUUGACCUCAAAUCGGGUGGGACUACCCGCUGAACUUAAGCAUAUCAAUAAGCGGAGGAAAAGAAACUAACAAGGAUUCCCCUAGUAACGGCGAGUGAAGAGGGAAAAGCUCAAAUUUUGAAUCUGGUGUCUUUGGCGCCCGAGUUGUAAUCUAGAGAAGUGUUUUCUGCCUCGGACCACACAUAAAUUCCCUGGAAUGGGGUGUCAUAGAGGGUGAGAAUCCCGUUUGUGGUGUGGACUACCUUGGCUCUGUGAUACACUCUCAACGAGUCGAGUUGUUUGGGAAUGCAGCUCAAAAUGGGUGGUAAAUUCCAUCUAAAGCUAAAUAUUGGCGAGAGACCGAUAGCGAACAAGUACCGUGAGGGAAAGAUGAAAAGCACUUUGGAAAGAGAGUGAAACAGUACGUGAAAUUGUUGAAAGGGAAGCGUUUGAAGUCAGUCACAUCGGUCGGAAUUCAGCCUGGCUUUGCCUGGUGUAUUUUCUGGCAGAUGGGUCAGCGUCAAUUUUGACUGAGGGAAAAAGACUUGAGGAAUGUGGCUGUCUUCGGGCAGUGUUAUAGCCUCUUGUUGUAUGUCUCAGUUGGGAUUGAGGACCGCAGCACGCCUUAUGGCCGGGGUUCGCGCCCUCGGAACGUGCU
rnacentral:rRNA from 1 species